UACGUAGGGGGCUAGCGUUGUCCGGAAUCAUUGGGCGUAAAGAGCGUGUAGGCGGUCCGGUAAGUCCGCUGUGAAAGUCGGGGGCUCAACCCUCGAAUGCCGGUGGAUACUGUCGGGCUAGAGUGCGGAAGAGGCGAGUGGAAUUCCUGGUGUAGCGGUGAAAUGCGCAGAUAUCAGGAGGAACACCUAUUGCGAAGGCAGCUCGCUGGGACGUAACUGACGCUGAGACGCGAAAGCGUGGGGAGCAACAGG
rnacentral:rRNA from 1 species